rnacentral:lncRNA from 1 species
GUGUAAGAUAAGCCUUCCACAUACCUGAGAGAGUUUACAGAAUUACAUUGUUAAUCCAAUUAACAAUCCAGAUACAUAUUAAAUGUUCAAUGUUCACAAUGCCCAAUUUCCUUUUGAAACAGUUCAUAGAUCUUUCCAGUUCACUUUCUUCAUCAGCCAUCGUCUGUCAUAUCAUCUUUGCUGGCAAUCAUCUCCAUCGGCUAUCAUCCCUGUUGGCCCAUCAUUUCUAUCAUCUGCCCCGAUGGGAUGAGGUGUUUUUUAUCAUCGAGCCUUACAUUGUUGGUCUUGUCAGCUCACUUCAAUAAUAUCUACCUUUCUCUGCCCUGUCUCUCUCUUGACUGCUUCUCACCUCUUCCUUCCAUUCAAACUCCUGAAUUCCUCCAAAGGAUGUGACUCACCAGUUUAUAUCACUCAGAUGAUGUUUUCCAAUGUUUCGUUUUGCUUCUGUUCUCAAGGUUCGGUUCUUACAUUGUUUUCAAACGAAGAUGAUUCCCAUCUCAAUUUAUUUAUAUUUACGGUAAAUACAGAAGUGGACAAUAAUGAUCAAUGGGAAAACCAGUUUGAAGAUACUAAUUUCCAUUUGUUGAUUUUAACGUAUUAAUGACAGAUUCGAGAGAUUGAACUACAUAAGAUACAUAAAGAUACAGUAAUGAUACAGAUAAAAUUGACAAUACAGAAUUAAAUGGUAUAAUAAUGAUACAAUGGAUAUAAUAACAAUAUACAUCAGUUUAACAUUAUUUGGAAACUAGUAUUUUCUUCUAGUUUUGACAAUAAUAGAGAAGUCUGGAACCUUACACUUCUGUUUCCAUUCUCAUUGUCCUUUAUCCAAUCCAAUUUUAAAUCUGUGUUUAACAAUCCAGUUUUCUUUCCUUUCAGCUUUAAAAAUCAUAAGUAAAAAUUUCAGUAUUGCUGAUCGGUCAAAUGAUGAUAGUCUGGUGUAGGAGCUAUUCCCUUGAGGGACCCAGAUAUCCUCAAGUGCCACUUCAGGUUCCUAAUUUCUGACAAUUAUAGCAAAAUUGAAUCUACAAACAGCCCAGAAAGAUCACUGAAACAUGCAAUCUUCUUGCCAUGUAAAGCAUGUAUUCAAAGGAGAUCAAAAUAUAAUUACAUUUAAAUUUAUAUAAUACAGUGGACUUCCUUAUAAUUCAAUCCCCUAUAAUGCAAAUUCAUGUAAAGUGACAAAAUAUUGUGAAAGUAUUUCUAAUAAUGAUAAAUACCUCAUAAGGAAUUAAAUUUAACAUUUUGACAUCUUUAAAAAAAUUUUUUUUUGGAAAC